GUAGGAGGCAAGCGUUAUCCGGAUUCACUGGGCGUAAAGCGCGCGCAGGCGGCUCCGUAAGUCGGACGUGAAAGCCCCCGGCUCAACUGGGGGAGGUCGUUCGAUACUGCAGGGCUUGAGGUCGGGAGAGGGAAGCGGAAUUCCCGGUGUAGUGGUGAAAUGCGUAGAUAUCGGGAGGAACACCAGUGGCGAAGGCGGCUUCCUGGCCCGCACCUGACGCUAAGGCGCGAAAGCGUGGGUAGCGAACGGGAUUAGAUACCCCGGGUAGUCCACGCCCUAAACGAUGGCAACUAGGUGUUGGGGGCUAUUAACCCCCCUCAGUGCCGAAGUUAACGCGAUAAGUUGCCCGCCUGAGGACUACGAGCGCAAGCUUAA
rnacentral:rRNA from 1 species